rnacentral:piRNA from 1 species
UCNGAAAUCUGAGAAAAGUGCUUUCAUAG